CACUCAUUCUCCACAGAAUUCAUUAAUUGCUGAGGUACGAAUGCAUUUAUUUCACCAGCUCUUACUGCCUGUGAUGUCCACUGCUUCAUCUAGGAGACCUUCUAGACUGUUCGAGGAGCUUUGAAACACAACAACUGCUUUUUGUAGGGUAUGGUAAUAUUUUUCCUCCAAAGCUUGCCCAUUUUUCCUAAAAGGCGUCAUUGAUAGCAUAAUCCAGAAUCUUGAGGCUGCAGCUCCUCUUCAGAACUUGAGAAAGCCAACACAGGGGAGUCUUCGUGAGCAUCAAUCAGAGUGCUCAAUAUCAUAUCAUAGGCAAAAUUCCUCAGCUCGCGCUUCAACCACCAACACAGCUCACUGCACCACUUGCAUCGCAACCACAAGUUUUGCAUACAAACCCUUCUUACAAUGCACAAUUGAAACUGUAGAAAGGAGUUGUCGAUUGUACCUUGCACACUAUACUCUUGCAGGAGAACUUUCCUGGCCUCGCAGAAAUACCAUUUGAAAAAUACAAAAAGAACAUGUCAACAGUUGUCUAUCUACUGUGAAAGUUUGAAAUACAAGGAGAUUUCACACUUUCCAUGGACAAAUCCAUCAUUGCGAUAACAAAAGAGACCACAACUGUCACCACUAUUGAAAAACACAUCUGAUCAUCAGUGAAGUAGAAAGACUACAAUUUUGCCUCCUCGUGUUUCAUAAGACAAUUUUGUUCAUAUCUUUGUUUUUCAAUUCACAGUCUACAAAACAUCAACAACUUCACACUGUGACUAUUGAAGACCUCACACCAAUACUCUUCCAUGUAUAGUGAUUAUAGCAGUGUUCAGUUUUUGCAAAUAUAAAACAUGAGCAGCUCCCUGAAAAAUCUCUUGAACAGAUUCUACUUGUUAAAUUUUUGUAACUUUUGCAGCUUUGCUUAAUAUACUUUCUUUUAGCCCUUUAGACUAUCUAAAUUUCAUAGCAUUGAACAAACAUUAACCAAACGACAUUCUGAUUUUGAUGCUGCUAUGCAUGGCAAGUAAAUAUGAUGAUGGUCUGAUUUUAAACAUGCCAUAAUCAAUAUGGUUUUGGACAUGACAGUCUGAUUUUCAAUGCAAAUAAUCUAUACCCGUUUAUUA